UAGCUUGUAUGAGAGGCUGGCUUUGAUACAGAGUCAGAAUCCCACCGGAACCAGCGCUAGAGAAUUGUCCCCAAUAGGGGCCAAACUGAUGGAGCAACACCGCGUGAGUGGAGAAGGGUUUCGGCUUGUAAAACUCUGUUGUUGAAGAAGAACGUGCAUGAGAGUAACUGUUCAUGCAGUGACGGUAUUCAACCAGAAAGUCACGGCUAACUAC
rnacentral:rRNA from 1 species